CCUACGGGUGGCUGCAGUAGGGAAUAUUGGACAAUGGGCGAAAGCCUGAUCCAGCCAUGCCGCGUGAUAGAUGAAGGCCCUCUGGGUUGUAAAUAUCUUUUAUCUGGGCAGAAACAAUCUUAUUCUUAAGAUCUUGACGGUACCAGAGGAAUAAGCACCGGCUAACUCCGUGCCAGCAGCCGCGGUACUACGGAGGGUGCAGGCGUUAUUGGGAUUAACUGGGGCGUAGGGGUGCUUAGAAGGGCUUGGUGAAAGCUCCGAGCUUAACUUGGAAACUGCCAUUGAUACUGCCAGUCUUGAAUGUCGUAGAGGUAAGCGGAAUGUUGCAUGUAGCGGUGAAAUGCUUAGAUAUGUUACAGAACACCAAUUGCGAAGGCAGCUUACUAUGCGAUGAUUGACGCUGAGGCACGAAAGCGUGGGGAGCAAACAGGAUUAGAUACCCCAGUAGUC
rnacentral:rRNA from 1 species